rnacentral:rRNA from 1 species
UGUAUAAUGGGUCAGCGACUUAUAUUCUGUAGCAAGGUUAACCGAAUAGGGGAGCCGAAGGGAAACCGAGUCUUAACUGGGCGUUAAGUUGCAGGGUAUAGACCCGAAACCCGGUGAUCUAGCCAUGGGCAGGUUGAAGGUUGGGUAACACUAACUGGAGGACCGAACCGACUAAUGUUGAAAAAUUAGCGGAUGACUUGUGGCUGGGGGUGAAAGGCCAAUCAAACCGGGAGAUAGCUGGUUCUCCCCGAAAGCUAUUUAGGUAGCGCCUCGUGAAUUCAUCUCCGGGGGUAGAGCACUGUUUCGGCAAGGGGGUCAUCCCGACUUACCAACCCGAUGCAAACUGCGAAUACCGGAGAAUGUUAUCACGGGAGACACACGGCGGGUGCUAACGUCCGUCGUGAAGAGGGAAACAACCCAGACCGCCAGCUAAGGUCCCAAAGUCAUGGUUAAGUGGGAAACGAUGUGGGAAGGCCCAGACAGCCAGGAUGUUGGCUUAGAAGCAGCCAUCAUUUAAAGAAAGCGUAAUAGCUCACUGGUCGAGUCGGCCUGCGCGGAAGAUGUAACGGGGCUAAACCAUGCACCGAAGCUGCGGCAGCGACGCUUAUGCGUUGUUGGGUAGGGGAGCGUUCUGUAAGCCUGCGAAGGUGUGCUGUGAGGCAUGCUGGAGGUAUCAGAAGUGCGAAUGCUGACAUAAGUAACGAUAAAGCGGGUGAAAAGCCCGCUCGCCGGAAGACCAAGGGUUCCUGUCCAACG